rnacentral:rRNA from 1 species
UACGUAUGGUGCAAGCGUUAUCCGGAUUUACUGGGUGUAAAGGGAGCGUAGACGGAGUGGCAAGUCUGAUGUGAAAACCCGGGGCUCAACCCCGGGACUGCAUUGGAAACUGUCAAUCUGGAGUACCGGAGAGGCAAGCGGAAUUCCUAGUGUAGCGGUGAAAUGCGUAGAUAUUAGGAGGAACACCAGUGGCGAAGGCGGCUUACUGGACGGUAACUGACGUUGAGGCUCGAAAGCGUGGGGAGCAAACAGG